GUCGCUACUACCGAUUGAAUGAUUUAGUGAGGGCUUCGGACGGGCUCGUCGGGGGAUGGACUUGCGAGUUUCGGCUCGCCGGCCCGUCUCUAACUUACGGCGAGACUGAAAGAUGUCCGAACUUGAUCCUUUAGAGGAAGUAAAAGU
rnacentral:rRNA from 1 species